UACGAACCGAGCGAACGUUGUUCGGAAUCACUGGGCUUAAAGGGUGCGUAGGCGGGCUGCCAAGUUUGGGGUGAAAUCCUCCGGCUCAACCGGGGAAGUGCCUUGAAUACUGGCGGUCUCGAGGGAGGUAGGGGCGUGCGGAACUAACGGUGGAGCGGUGAAAUGCGUUGAUAUCGUUAGGAACUCCGGUGGCGAAGGCGGCACGCUGGACCUCUUCUGACGCUGAGGCACGAAAGCCAGGGGAGCGAACGGG
rnacentral:rRNA from 1 species